rnacentral:rRNA from 1 species
AUCAGACCUCUAAUCGGAAAAGACUACCCGCUGA